rnacentral:rRNA from 1 species
AGAACGAACGCUGGCGGCAUGCCUAACACAUGCAAGUCGAACGAGGUCCUUCGGGGCCUAGUGGCGCACGGGUGCGUAACGCGUGGGAAUCUGCCCUGGGGUACGGAAUAACAGUGAGAAAUUACUGCUAAUACCGUAUGAUGACGUAAGUCCAAAGAUUUAUCGCCCUGGGAUGAGCCCGCGUAGGAUUAGCUAGUUGGUGGGGUAAAGGCCUACCAAGGCGACGAUCCUUAGCUGGUCUGAGAGGAUGAUCAGCCACACUGGGACUGAGACACGGCCCAGACUCCUACGGGAGGCAGCAGUGGGGAAUAUUGGACAAUGGGCGAAAGCCUGAUCCAGCAAUGCCGCGUGAGUGAUGAAGGCCUUAGGGUUGUAAAGCUCUUUUACCCGGGAAGAUAAUGACUGUACCGGGAGAAUAACGCCCGGCUAACUCCGCGCCAGCAGCCGC